CCUACGUGAUGCUGCAGUGGGGGAUAUUGCACAAUGGGGGGAACCCUGAUGCAGCGCCGCCGCGUGGGUGAAGAAGCGCCUCGGCGCGUAAAGCCCUGUCAGCAGGGAAGACAAUGACGGUACCUGAAGAAGAAGCCCCGGCUAACUACGAGCCAGCAGCCACGGUAAUACGUAGGGGGCAAGCGUUAUCCGGAUUUACUGGGUGUAACGAGGGCGCAGACGGCGAGGCAAGCCAGGAGUGAAAGCCCGGGGCCCAACCCCGGGACUGCUCUUGGAACUGGGUGGCUGGAGUGCAGGAGGGGCAUGCGGAAUUGCUGGUGUAGCGGUGAAAGGCGUAGAUAUCAGGAGGAACACCGGUGGCGAAGGCGGCCUGCUGGACUGCAACUGACGUUGAGGCCCGAAAGCGUGGGGAGCAAACAGGAUUAGAUACCCUGGUAGUC
rnacentral:rRNA from 1 species